rnacentral:rRNA from 1 species
AGCGAACAUUGGCGGUAGGCUUAACACAUGCAAGUCGAGCGAGGCGUAAUAGUCGAGCGGCGAACGGGUGAGUAAUACAUGGGAAUCUACCUUGGAGUGGGGGAUAACAGCCAGAAAUGGCUGCUAAUACCGCAUAAUCCCGAGAGGGGAAAGCGCGCUGCGCUCCAAGAUGAGCCCAUGGCUGAUUAGCUAGUUGGUGGGGUAAAGGCCUACCAAGGCGACGAUCAGUAGCUGGUCUGAGAGGAUGAUCAGCCACACUGGAACUGAGACACGGUCCAGACUCCUACGGGAGGCAGCAGUGGGGAAUCUUGCGCAAUGGGGGCAACCCUGACGCAGCCAUACCGCGUGUGCGAUGAAGGUCUUCGGAUUGAAAAGCACUUUCAGUAGGGACGACGAUGACGGUACCUACAGAAGAAGUCACGGCUAACUUCGUGCCAGCAGCCGCCGCCG